CAUGCAAGUCAAUAUCCAAUUCCUGCGCGGCGUUGCACUUGCGCUUAGCCUGGUACAGUGACUCGGUGCUGUACGUGGACAGCAGCUUGGACCUGUGCUCCUCUGUUUGCCGUGGGGACUCCAGCUGGAAACAAACAGAUGAUAUUCAUCCUCAGUAAUGCUGGGGCCAUUUCAAGAUAAAAAUGCUGCAUGUGGCAACUGACCCAGUGUUUUUACACACAGACCAAGGAGUUACACCGGAACUAAAUCUCCUCUGCAUAUGCAGGAAGAACCUGUCCCACUGCUAUAUUAACAGCUGCCCCUUACUAUUAUGCGCUCUGUUCCAGUCUUGAUGGAAAGGAAUAUUCCAGAAUUGCCUCACUAGAGUGUGUUUCCCAAGCAGCCUUGCUUCUGUUCAGCCCAAAGGAGCCUGGCUAAUGAAAGAAACAUCCAGAGCGCUGCUCGAAAAAUCCCUGAACUCCUCCCUUUGAAAACAUAUCAACCCCUAAUUCUCCCAAGCUCCAGCUAUAAUUCAAGAAAAGUCAAAACCACUGGGACACGUGGCAGAGAAUUUCAUUUUUAAUCUUUGUGGGAGCAGGGAGUUUUACUACAAGGCCGACAAAAUGCUUCAUUUUCCUGUGUGCUGUUGCCCCACCUGAGGAGAGGACAGGGGAAAAGGUGGGAUAGGUAUUUAUUUUGGAGGAAAAGGUGGGAUGGAUAUUGCGGAGGAAAAGGUGGGAUGGGUAUUUCAGAGGAAAAGGUGGGAUGGGUAUUUUGUAGUUAAAGGUGGGAUGGGUAUUUGGGAGUGAGUUAAAGGAGGGAUGGGUAUUGCGGAGUUAAGGAGGGGUGGCUGUUGCGGGCGCUGUCCCGCACGGCGGCUGUAGGUGGAGCUGUUAUCCCAGAGCCGUGCCAGCCUUUCCUCUGGAAACGCCGGCAGCCGCCGAUGGCCUCGGGAAACUUCUUGAUGCUGGCUGGGGACACCCUGCAAACGCGGUCAUUCCUGCCCGUCUUUUCCUGCAGGGGCUUCAGAAAUCUCAAGUCACGUCUUAGUGGUUUUGCCGUGGGGGUGUCAGCGUGUUUCAAGACACGUGAGUUGGGGACUUUCUCCAUCUAAUUAAGCAGGAGAGACGGCUGAAUCUCUAACAGAUGCAUUCUGAUACUAAAAUGAUCCUCAAAUGUUUUAAGCUUAAUUAGAAACAAAACCAAAAAAACAUAAACCAGAAGUUUCUAAAGGAUAAAAA